CCUACGGGAGGCAGCAGUGAGGAAUAUUGGUCAAUGGACGGAAGUCUGAACCAGCCAUGCCGCGUGCAGGAAGACGGCUCUGUGAGUUGUAAACUGCUUUUGUACAAGGGUAAACCUGGAGACGUGUAUUCAGCUGAAAGUACUUGACGAAUAAGGAUCGGCUAACUCCGUGCCAGCAGCCGCGGUAAUACGGAGGAUCCAAGCGUUAUCCGGAUUUAUUGGGUUUAAAGGGUGCGUAGGCGGUUUGAUAAGUUAGAGGUGAAAUGUCCGAGCUUAACUCGGGAACUGCCUCUAAUACUGUUGAUCUAGAGAGUAGAUGAGGUAGGCGGAAUGUAUGGUGUAGCGGUGAAAUGCUUAGAGAUCAUACAGAACACCGAUUGCGAAGGCAGCUUACCAA
rnacentral:rRNA from 1 species